rnacentral:rRNA from 1 species
CUUUCUCCGCCGGCGACCGACGCACGGGUGAGUAACACGUAUGCAACCUGCCCCUGUCAGGGGGACAACCCGCCGAAAGGCGGGCUAAACCCGCGUACAUGCCACCGGGGCAUCCCGGAGGCAGGAAAGGCUUCGGCCGGACAGGGAUGGGCAUGCGGCGCAUUAGGCAGUAGGCGGGGUAACGGCCCACCUAACCGACGAUGCGUAGGGGUUCUGAGAGGAAGGUCCCCCACACUGGUACUGAGACACGGACCAGACUCCUACGGGAGGCAGCAG